UACAGAGGUCUCAAGCGUUGUUCGGAUUCAUUGGGCGUAAAGGGCGCGUAGGUGGCGCUGCAAGUCGGGUGUGAAAUUUCGGAGCUUAACUCCGAAACUGCAUUCGAUACUGCGGUGCUUGAGGACUGGAGAGGAGACUGGAAUUCAUGGUGUAGCAGUGAAAUGCGUAGAGAUCAUGAGGAAGACCAGUGGCGAAGGCGGGUCUCUGGACAGUUCCUGACACUGAGGCACGAAGGCCAGGGGAGCAAACGGG
rnacentral:rRNA from 1 species